rnacentral:rRNA from 1 species
UAAUACGGGGGGCGCAAGCGUUAUUCGGAAUUAUUGGGCGUAAAGGGCGCGCAGGCGGUCUUGUCCGUCAGGUGUGAAAGCUCGGGGCUCAACCCCGGAAGUGCACUUGAAACAGCAAGACUUGAAUACGGGAGAGGAAAGCGGAAUUCCUGGUGUAGAGGUGAAAUUCGUAGAUAUCAGGAGGAACACCGAUGGCGAAGGCAGCUUUCUGGACCGAUAUUGACGCUGAGGCGCGAAGGCGUGGGUAGCAAACGGGAUUAGAUACCCCGGUAGUCCACGCAGUAAACGUUGUACACUCGGUGUAGCGGGUAUUAAAACCUGCUGUGCCCAAGCUAACGCAUUAAGUGUACCGCCUGGGAAGUACGGUCGCAAGACUAAAACUCAAAUGAAUUGACGG